AGAGUUUGAUCCUGGCUCAGAACGAACGCUGGCGGCAGGCUUAACACAUGCAGGUCGAACGGUCUCUUCGGAGGCAGUGGCAGACGGGUGAGUAACGCGUGGGAAUCUACCUAGUUCUACGGAACAACAGUUGGAAACGACUGCUAAUACCGUAUACGCCCUAAGGGGGAAAGAUUUAUCGGAAUUAGAUGAGCCCGCGUAAGAUUAGCUAGUUGGUGAGGUAAUGGCUCACCAAGGCGACGAUCUUUAGCUGGUCUGAGAGGAUGAUCAGCCACACUGGGACUGAGACACGGCCCAGACUCCUACGGGAGGCAGCAGUGGGGAAUAUUGGACAAUGGGCGCAAGCCUGAUCCAGCCAUGCCGCGUGAGUGAUGAAGGCCUUAGGGUUGUAAAGCUCUUUCACCGAUGAAGAUAAUGACGGUAGUCGGAGAAGAAGCCCCGGCUAACUUCGUACCAGCCGCCGCGGUAAUAC
rnacentral:rRNA from 1 species